CGUAGGGUGCGAGCGUUAAUCGGAAUUACUGGGCGUAAAGCGUGCGCAGGCGGUUCGUUGUGUCCGAUGUGAAAGCCCCGGGCUUAACCUGGGAAUGGCAUUGGAAACUGGCGAGCUUGAGUGCGGCAGAGGGGGGUGGAAUUCCGCGUGUAGCAGUGAAAUGCGUAGAGAUGCGGAGGAACACCGAUGGCGAAGGCAGCCCCCUGGGUCGACACUGACGCUCAGGCACGAAAGCGUGGGGAGCAAACAGGAUUAGAUACCCUGGUAGUCCACGCCCUAAACGAUGUCGACUGGGUGUUGGGGAAGCGAUUCCCUAGUACCGUAGCUAACGCGUGAAGUCGACCGCCUGGGGAGUACGGCCGCAAGGUUA
rnacentral:rRNA from 1 species